AGAGUUUGAUCCUGGCUCAGGAUGAACGCUAGCUACAGGCUUAACACAUGCAAGUCGAGGGGAAACGACAUCGAAAGCUUGCUUUUGAUGGGCGUCGACCGGCGCACGGGUGAGUAACACGUAUCCAACCUACCGAUAACUCGGGGAUAGCCUUUCGAAAGAAAGAUUAAUACCCGAUAGUAUAAUCAGACCGCAUGGUUUGAUUAUUAAAGAAUUUCGGUUAUCGAUGGGGAUGCGUUCCAUUAGGCAGUUGGUGAGGUAACGGCUCACCAAACCUUCGAUGGAUAGGGGUUCUGAGAGGAAGGUCCCCCACAUUGGAACUGAGACACGGUCCAAACUCCUACGGGAGGCAGCA
rnacentral:rRNA from 1 species